rnacentral:rRNA from 1 species
GACGAACGCUGGCGGCGUGCUUAACACAUGCAAGUCGAACGAAGAGCGAUGGAAGCUUGCUUCUAUCAAUCUUAGUGGCGAACGGGUGAGUAACGCGUAAUCAACCUGCCCUUCAGAGGGGGACAACAGUUGGAAACGACUGCUAAUACCGCAUACGAUCUGACCUCGGCAUCGAGGAUAGAUGAAAGGUGGCCUCUACAUGUAAGCUAUCACUGAAGGAGGGGAUUGCGUCUGAUUAGCUAGUUGGAGGGGUAACGGCCCACCAAGGCGAUGAUCAGUAGCCGGUCUGAGAGGAUGAACGGCCACAUUGGGACUGAGACACGGCCCAGACUCCUACGGGAGGCAGCAGUGGGGAAUCUUCCGCAAUGGACGAAAGUCUGACGGAGCAACGCCGCGUGAGUGAUGACGGCCUUCGGGUUGUAAAGCUCUGUUAAUCGGGACGAAAGGCCUUC